GUACACGCUAGACAACUACGUAGUGCGCUAUUUAAUGAGCCCUAUUCAUCCUGUUGUCAUAAUCAUGUGAGUCAACACACUAAUGACACCGUGCAAUAUUUGUUUCUCCUUCACUUAAAUGGCUUAUGGUAGAGAAAUGAACAUUGAAUUCUCUGGUGGACGUUCCUGCAGUCAGCUUACCAAUUACAAUCUCCCUCAGAAGUCGCCUGUGUCAUUGUGUUGUGUGACGACAACUGCACCCUUAAAAGUGGCCUUUUAUUGUCCUCCAUACAAGGUGCACCUGUGUAAUGAUCAUGAGCCUGUCCAUGCGAGCGAGCCCGUACGUGAUCUCAAAUAGCUAAUGCUAUUAAUACAUUUAUUUGAUGGGGGACGGGUUUUGGCCUUACUGCUAUUAACCCAUAUAAAUGCAUUGAAUAACAGAUUCAUAUACAACACAUGGUCCCAAAACAACCUAAAGGAAGCUUGUUCUGAGUCGUCUGAGAGAUUUCAGGUCAGGAACAUAUUUAUAUUUUUUGCACAAUUAAACCCUUUUUUUUAGGCACUAAACUACUCCUACCUGUCUGAUGUCCCCUCCCUGGGGUGUCUGACAGGACGUCUUGACCACCCUCUGGGUCCGAGACGUCUCUGGACUGGUAGAGUAGGAGGAAGAGGGACAUUGCAGUGACUGAUGGGCUCAGAGGGAGGCGUUACUGUAGGCAGAAGGAGAGAGAAGAGCCGUCAGGGUUACCUGGACAUUUACAGUAGGAGAGAGAAGAGCCGUCAGGGUUACCUGGACAUUUACAGUAGGAGAGAGAAGAGCCGUCAGGGUUACCUAGACAUUUACAGUAGGAGAGAGAAGAGCCGUCAGGGUUACCUGGACAUUUACAGUAGGAGAGAAGAGCCGUCAGGGUUACCUGGACAUUUACAGUAGGAGAGAGAAGAGCCGUCAGGGUUACCUAGACAUUUACAGCAGGAGAGAAGAGCCGUCAGGGUUACCUGGACAUUUACAGUAGGAGAGAGAAGAGCCGUCAGGGUUACCUAGACAUUUACAGUAGGAGAGAGAAGAGCCGUCAGGGUUACCUAGACAUUUACAGUAGGAGAGAGAAGAGCCGUCAGGGUUACCUGGACAUUUACAGUAGGAGAGAGAAGAGCCGUCAGGGUUACCUAGACAUUUACAGUAGGAGAGAGAAGAGCCGUCAGGGUUACCUGGACAUUUACAGUAGGAGAGAGAAGAGCCGUCAGGGUUACCUAGACAUUUACAGUAGGUAUGAUCAGUCAGGGUUACCUGGACAUUUACAGUAGGGAGAGAAGAGCCGUCAGGGUUACCUGGACAUUUACAGUAGGAGAGAGAAGAGCCGUCAGGGUUACCUAGACAUUUACAGUAGGAGAAGAGCCGUCAGGGUUACCUGGACAUUUACAGCAGGAGAGAGAAGAGCCGUCAGGGUUACCUGGACAUUUA